rnacentral:snRNA from 2 species
ACCCCUACCUGGACGGGGCUGAUGACUUAUAAAGAAGGGUCGUGGCCUAGAUCCACGGCUCAAAUUGCAUUUGGUGAGCGUGUUGUUCUACCAUCUCCCCAAUUGAGAGAAUGGAUGUCAUGAUUUUUGGUAGAUGGGGGGUAUGCGUUUGUGCGGCCCUGCC